rnacentral:tRNA from 1 species
GCGGAUAUGGCGGAAUUGGUAGACGCGCUAGAUUCAGGUUCUAGUGCCCGCAAGGGCAUGGGGGUUCGAGUCCCUCUAUCCGCACCA